AACCUGGUUCAAUUCCCUAUCUGGGUACAAUGUGUGAAUCCAUUUCUGGUGUCCCCCAUCGUGAUAUUGCUGGAAUAUUGCUGAAAGCGGCGUAACACCAUACUCACUCACCCAAAGUACUCAGGUUUUUAUUGACAGCAGGUGACAAACAUCAACCCACUUUUAAGACAAUGUGAACAAUUAUUUUUUGUGACAUCUUGUUAAGGUAGCUUCUGGAUUAAAAUAUUGUUUUGUGAACACGUCAGUUCUUUUGAUAUUUUCACCUACUUUGCAGUAUAAUUAGCGCCUUCGUUAUAUAACUGUACUUGGGCCCGAGGCCAUAAUAUCGAAAUAAAAUCAAUCACUGUUUAAAUGUA